rnacentral:rRNA from 1 species
AGUGAACGCUGGCGGCAGGCCUAACACAUGCAAGUCGAACGGCAGCACAGUGCGUGCUCGCUGUUACGGGUGCCGAGUGGUGGACGGUGCCUGUGUAUAUGGGAAUAUACUUUUUCGGGGGGGAUAAAAUAGGGAAACAUACCGCAAUACCGCAUACGACGUACGGGUGGAAGCAUGGGAUCUUACGAUCUCGUGUGAUCGUAGGAGGCGAUGUCGGAUUAGCUAGUUGGUGGGGUAAAGGCGCACCAAGGCGACGCUCCGUAGCUGGUCUGAGAGGAUGAUCAGCCACACUGGAACUGAGACACGGUCCAGACUCCUACGGGAGGCAGCAGUGGGGAAUAUUGGACAAUGGGCGAAAGCCUGAUCCAGCCAUACCGCGUGUGUGAAGAAGGCCUUCGGAUUGUAAAGCCCUUUUGGUUGGAAAGAAGGGCAGCAGGUUAAUACCUCGCUGUUCUGACGGUACCCAAAGAAUAAGCACCGGCUAACUUCGUG